GACGAACGCUGGCGGCGUGCUUAACACAUGCAAGUCGAACGGAAAGGCCCCUUUGGGGGUACUCGAGUGGCGAACGGGUGAGUAACACGUGAGUAACCUGCCCUUGACUUCGGGAUAACUUCAGGAAACUGGGGCUAAUACCGGAUAGGAAUCCUUGCUGCAUGGUGGGGGUUGGAAAGCUUCGGCGGUUUUGGAUGGACUCGCGGCUUAUCAGCUUGUUGGUGGGGUAGUGGCUUACCAAGGCUUUGACGGGUAGCCGGCCUGAGAGGGCGACCGGCCACAUUGGGACUGAGAUACGGCCCAGGCUCCUACGGGAGGCAGCAGUGGGGAAUAUUGCACAAUGGGCGGAAGCCUGAUGCAGCAACGCCGCGUGCGGGAUGACGGCCUUCGGGUUGUAAACCGCUUUCAGCAGGGGCGAAGCUUGUGGUGACGGUACCUGCAGAAGAAGCACCGGCUAACUACGUG
rnacentral:rRNA from 1 species